AACGAACGCUGGCGGCAGGCCUAACACAUGCAAGUCGAGCGAACCCUUCGGGGUUAGCGGCGGACGGGUUAGUAACGCGUGGGAAUAUACCCUUUGGUACGGAAUAGCCUCGGGAAACUGAGAGUAAUACCGUAUGUGCCCUUCGGGGAAGAUUAUCGCCAAAGGAUUAGCCCGCGUUGGAUUAGAUAGUUGGUGGGGUAAUGGCCUACCAAGUCUACGAUCCAUAGCUGGUUUGAGAGGAUGAUCAGCAACACUGGGACUGAGACACGGCCCAGACUCCUACGGGAGGCAGCAGUGGGGGAAUCUUAGACAAUGGGCGCAAGCCUGAUCUAGCCAUGCCGCGUGGACGAUGAAGGCCUUAGGGUUGUAAAGUCCUUUCUAGAU
rnacentral:rRNA from 1 species